rnacentral:rRNA from 1 species
AUUGAACGCUGGCGGCAUGCCUUACACAUGCAAGUCGAACGGUAACGGGCCUUCGGUUUCCGACGCGUGGCGGACGGGCGGGUAAUACAUCGGAACGUGCCCGGUCCUGGGGGAUAACGAGGCGAAAGCUUUGCUAAUACCGCAUACGAUCUACGCAUGAGAGCAGGGGACCGGAAGGCCUUGCGCGGGCGGAGCGGCCGAUGGCAGAUUCGGUUGUUGGUGGGAUAGAAGCUUAGCAAGCCGACGAUCUGUAGGUGGACUGAGAGGCUGAUCAUCCACACUGGGACUGAGCCACGGCCCAGACUCCUACGGGAGGCAGCAGUGGGGAAUUUUGGACAACGGGCGCAAGCCUGACCCAACCAUGCCGCGCGCAAGAUGAAGGCCUUCGGGUUGUGAAGUGCUUUUGUACGGUAUGAAAAGCCUUCUUUUAAUACAGGGGGGGCAUGACGGUACCGUAUGAAUAAGCACCGGCUAACUACGUG